AUUGAACGCUGGCGGCAGGCCUAACACAUGCAAGUCGAGCGGAGCGGCGGACGGGUGAGUAAUGCCUAGGAAUCUGCCUGGUAGUGGGGGAUAACGUACGGAAACGGGCGCUAAUACCGCAUACUAUCAGAUGAGCCUAGGUUGGAUUAGCUAGUUGGUGGGGUAAAGGCCUACCAAGGCGACGAUCCGUAACUGGUCUGAGAGGAUGAUCAGUCACACUGGAACUGAGACACGGUCCAGGCUGCUACGGGAGGCAUCAGUGGGGAAUAUUGGACUAAGGGCGAAAGCCUGAUCCAGCCAUCCCGCGUGUGUGAAGAAGGUCUUCGGAUUGUAAAGCACUUUAAGCUGGGAGGCGUUACCUACAGAAUAAGCACCGGCUAACUUCGUGCCAGCAGCCGCGGUAAUUC
rnacentral:rRNA from 1 species